GGGUGAGUAACACGUGGAUAACCUACCUAUAAGACUGGGAUAACUUCGGGAAACCGGAGCUAAUACCGGAUAAUAUAUUGAACCGCAUGGUUCAAUAGUGAAAGACGGUUUUGCUGUCACUUAUAGAUGGAUCCGCGCCGCAUCAGCUAGUUGGUAAGGUAACGGCUUACCAAGGCAACGAUGCGUAACCGACCUGAGAGGGUGAUCGGCCACACUGGAACUGAGACACGGUCCAG
rnacentral:rRNA from 1 species